CGGGGCGUGGCGCAGCCUGGUUAGCGCGCUAGUCUGGGGGACUAGAGGUCCCGAGUUCAAAUCUCGGCGCCCCGAUCA
rnacentral:tRNA from 1 species